UUUGUGACGUAACGAUCUUGAUAAGAGACCGCAGAAAUCUGACCUUUUAUUUUAGGUAAACAACACGAGAGGCCAUUUGUUUAUGUGUUGUUAUCAUUUGCUUAGAAAUCCUCGAUCAGCGGUUCAGUCAAUUUCUCUGUAUUCAUGUCAAUUACGCAAAUGUGAGAUUAAUCUACGUGAUGUGAAGUGUUUGCAAUUAAUAAUCAGUUUAUCUAUCUGUUAAAUGUAAUUAAAUGUGCAGUUUACAUUAAGGAAUGGUUAAAUACAUGCAAAUUUCAACUUGAUAAGACGGCGUAUCCUGGCGUUUUUGCAGAUAAAGGUAUCUUUCUCUUCCUUGUGGCAGAUUUGGAAACAAAAAUUUGGUCUUGAUAUUUUUACCACAUUUAAUGGAAAACUGAUGUGAUUCCGGCCCACCACAAGUUGGAGCUAUUGUGAUUAAGAUGUGAUGGGUAGAGGCAGCAAAUAGUAGGAAGCAGAGGUAACGCCUUUUGACAGGUUUCGAUUCGACCUGGAGUCUAUCCCUUCUAUUCGAAUGCAACAUCCAAGAAAACACUACCUUCCAUUUCCCGCUGGAACGAAGCCGAAGUCUUGCUUGUCUAAUUCCAGACGACGUAAGGCAAA